UGAACGCUAGCGGCAGGCUUAAUACAUGCAAGUCGUGGGGCAGCAGGUUUGUAGCAAUACAGAUGCUGGCGACCGGCAAACGGGUGCGUAACACGUACGCAACUUACCCAUUACAGGGGAAUAGCCCAGGGAAACUUGGAUUAAUACCCCAUAUUAUAUAGGAAAGGCAUCUUUUUUAUAUCAAAGCUUCGGCGGUAAUGGAUGGGCGUGCGGUUGAUUAGAUAGUUGGCGGGGUAACGGCCCACCAAGUCUACGAUCAAUAGCUGAUGUGAGAGCAUGAUCAGCCACACGGGCACUGAGACACGGGCCCGACUCCUACGGGAGGCAGCAGUAAGGAAUAUUGGGCAAUGGACGAAAGUCUGACCCAGCCAUGCCGCGUGAAGGAUGAAGGUCCUCUGGAUUGUAAACUUCUUUAUCUGGGCGAAAAUCACCCUUUCUAGGGUGCUUGACAGUACCAGAAGAAUAAGCACCGGCUAACUCCGUGCCAGCAG
rnacentral:rRNA from 1 species